rnacentral:misc_RNA from 1 species
CGCACCUUGCGCCCCUCGGUAUUCCGAGGAGCAUGCCUGUUUGAGUGUCAUGGAAUCAUCAACCUCAACACCUUGUUGUGUUGAAGGCUUGGACUUGGAGGCUUGUGCCGGCGUCAGUCGGCUCCUCUGGAAUGCAUUAGCUGGACUUUUGAGUCUGGUUGCACGGUGUGAUAAUUAUCUGCAUCGUCGGCCUCUCUAAUGGGACCAGCUUCCAACCGUCACCUUCACGGAGACAAUUUACUUGACCUCUGACCUCAAAUCAGGUAGGACUACCCGCUGAACUUAA